AUUUUCCCAGAUACGGCACACCAUGAUAAGAAAAAAAUGAAGUCUAAUACAUGUACUUACUUCUGAUAAAAUCGAAAGCUGACGGUGCUUAGAAAUUGCAACCACAGAAUCAACCUUAUAACACCGUCAUCUUUGGUAAAAUACCACAUUUUGGAGCUGAGAGACAGGCAAUGAUCACUGCUUCGCCUGUGGAGUAGAAGAAGAACUGACAAGCAAUGCCCCAAAAUAUCACUUGCAGAGCGAGUGCAAGAUAGCUGGAAGUGGCAAUUUACAGCAGUGGGAACAAGAGUAGCCGAAAGUCCCUAAAAGAAGAAAGCCAACUUCUGACCUUAGAAAGUUUGACACUGAGCAUCAUGUCCAGCAUAGUGAGUCUGAAGAGAAGGAACAGGAGCUGUAUGUAAAUGACAUUGCAAAGAGGCUGGAACAAGCCAGUGCAGGAAUGAGGAAUGUUUGGAUCUGCAUGGCUCCAGCUGAAGUUACUGUAAGUGUAUUGCUUUAACAAAGCAACAAUGAGGGUAUGCAAAGCUUAACCGGUAGCUUUGCACAAGAACACAGAGAUCCAGAACUGCGACACAGAUUAACAAUUCCUUAAUUAAUUUCUUUUGUUAGUAUUUUAAUCAGUAGAAAUUCUCAACUUAAAUGACAGCCUUGAAAAUCAGCCUAGAACACAUCAAUUGCUAUUGGAUGAGUACUGGGUUUGUGCUUUCCACAGUUGAUAUUUUUACCUAGAUUACACUUGCCCACUUUUGUUCACAGUACAGCAAUCUCUAAUAAUAGCACGGUUGUUAUUUAUAUGUCACGAAACACAAAAGUCUUAAUGUUCUAUCCUACCCACAUUUACUUCUGUUUGAAAGAACAUGUAUAACAUGUUAACAUGUAUAAUUACAUGCACUGUUUCCAUUUUGAGGUGAACCUUUUGGACAGGAAAUGCUUUCUAUUUCACUCUCUUGAGAGAACAAAAUGCAAGCCUGUAGUAAUCUUCUUGAAACUUAGGUAACUGUAUUAGUACUGAAAUUCAAUAUUUCAGCUUGCCCACAAAUGGGAUGCCAAAGGAAGCUUAGCUCUUUUAGCAAACUGAAUAAUGUUAUCAACUAAGGCAAAAUUUUAGUUGUCAUUCAUACAUUUACUAAGCUUAAAUUGCAAAAAAAUGUGUGUCAUACUAUCCUACCUUUGCAGAUUUCAAACAACAGAAAAUAUUUUUCCAGUUCAGUCAUUAAAACCAAAUGCUCCCCGAUCUAAAACAAAUUCACUAGCACCAGUCUCAAAUAUUUUUCAGAAUGUAAGUUGCUCAUAUAUAUAACU